rnacentral:misc_RNA from 1 species
UCGCGGCUUAUCACCGGCAGUCUCCUUAGAGUGCUCAACUAAAUGGUAGCAACUAAGGACGGGGGUUGCGCUCGUUGCGGGACUUAACCCAACAUCUCACGACACGAGCUGACGACAGCCAUGCACCACCUGUGAAGGUGUCCCGAAGGAAAACCGUGUUUCCACGGCGGUCACCUACAUGUCAAGCCCAGGUAAGGUUCUUCGCGUUGCGUCGAAUUAAACCACAUGCUCCGCUGCUUGUGCGGGUCCCCGUCAAUUCCUUUGAGUUUCGACCUUGCGGCCGUACUCCCCAGGCGGACGACUUAACGCGUUAGCUAAGCCACUGCCGGAUUGAUUACCAGCAACAGCGAGUAUCUAUCGUUUACAGCGUGGACUAC